rnacentral:rRNA from 1 species
ACUAAGCGUACACGGUGGAUGCCCUGGCAGUCAGAGGCGAUGAAGGACGUGCUAAUCUGCGAUAAGCGUCGGUGAGGUGAUAUGAACCGUUAUAACCGGCGAUUUCCGAAUGGGGAAACCCAGUGUGUUUCGACACACUAUCAUUAACUGAAUCCAUAGGUUAAUGAGGCGAACCGGGGGAACUGAAACAUCUAAGUACCCCGAGGAAAAGAAAUCAACCGAGAUUCCCCCAGUAGCGGCGAGCGAACGGGGAGGAGCCCAGAGCCUGAAUCAGUGUGUGUGUUAGUGGAAGCGUCUGGAAAGGCGCGCGAUACAGGGUGACAGCCCCGUACACAAAAAUGCACAUAUUGUGAGCUCGAUGAGUAGGGCGGGACACGUGGUAUCCUGUCUGAAUAUGGGGGGACCAUCCUCCAAGGCUAAAUACUCCUGACUGACCGAUAGUGAACCAGUACCGUGAGGGAAAGGCGAAAAGAACCCCGGCGAGGGGAGUGAAAAAGAACCUGAAACCGUGUACGUACAAGCAGUGGGAGCCUCUUAAUGGGGUGACUGCGUACCUUUUGUAUAAUGGGUCAGCGACUUAUAUUCUGUAGCAAGGUUAACCGAAUAGGGGAGCCGAAGGGAAACCGAGUCUUAACUGGGCGUUAAGUUGCAGGGUAUAGACCCGAAACCCGGUGAUCUAGCCAUGGGCAGGUUGAAGGUUGGGUAACACUAACUGGAGGACCGAACCGACUAAUGUUGAAAAAUUAGCGGAUGACUUGUGGCUGGGGGUGAAAGGCCAAUCAAACCGGGAGAUAGCUGGUUCUCCCCGAAAGCUAUUUAGGUAGCGCCUCGUGAAUUCAUCUCCGGGGGUAGAGCACUGUUUCGGCAAGGGGGUCAUCCCGACUUACCAACCCGAUGCAAACUGCGAAUACCGGAGAAUGUUAUCACGGGAGACACACGGCGGGUGCUAACGUCCGUCGUGAAGAGGGAAACAACCCAGACCGCCAGCUAAGGUCCCAAAGUCAUGGUUAAGUGGGAAACGAUGUGGGAAGGCCCAGACAGCCAGGAUGUUGGCUUAGAAGCAGCCAUCAUUUAAAGAAAGCGUAAUAGCUCACUGGUCGAGUCGGCCUGCGCGGAAGAUGUAACGGGGCUAAACCAUGCACCGAAGCUGCGGCAGCGACACUAUGUGUUGUUGGGUAGGGGAGCGUUCUGUAAGCCUGUGAAGGUGGCCUGUGAGGGUUGCUGGAGGUAUCAGAAGUGCGAAUGCUGACAUAAGUAACGAUAAAGCGGGUGAAAAGCCCGCUCGCCGGAAGACCAAGGGUUCCUGUCCAACGUUAAUCGGGGCAGGGUGAGUCGACCCCUAAGGCGAGGCCGAAAGGCGUAGUCGAUGGGAAACAGGUUAAUAUUCCUGUACUUGGUGUUACUGCGAAGGGGGGACGGAGAAGGCUAUGUUGGCCGGGCGACGGUUGUCCCGGUUUAAGCGUGUAGGCUGGUUUUCCAGGCAAAUCCGGAGAAUCAAGGCUGAGGCGUGAUGACGAGGCACUACGGUGCUGAAGCAACAAAUGCCCUGCUUCCAGGAAAAGCCUCUAAGCAUCAGGUAACAUCAAAUCGUACCCCAAACCGACACAGGUGGUCAGGUAGAGAAUACCAAGGCGCUUGAGAGAACUCGGGUGAAGGAACUAGGCAAAAUGGUGCCGUAACUUCGGGAGAAGGCACGCUGAUAUGUAGGUGAAGCGACUUGCUCGUGGAGCUGAAAUCAGUCGAAGAUACCAGCUGGCUGCAACUGUUUAUUAAAACACAGCACUGUGCAACACGAAAGUGGACGUAUACGGUGUGACGCCUGCCCGGUGCCGGAAGGUUAAUUGAUGGGGUUAGCGGCAACGCGAAGCUCUUGAUCGAAGCCCCGGUAAACGGCGGCCGUAACUAUAACGGUCCUAAGGUAGCGAAAUUCCUUGUCGGGUAAGUUCCGACCUGCACGAAUGGCGUAAUGAUGGCCAGGCUGUCUCCACCCGAGACUCAGUGAAACUUGAACUCGCUGUGAAGAUGCAGUGUACCCGCGGCAAGACGGAAAGACCCCGUGAACCUUUACUAUAGCUUGACACUGAACAUUGAGCCUUGAUGUGUAGGAUAGGUGGGAGGGCUUUGAAGUGUGGACGCCAGUCUGCAUGGAGCCGGCCUUGAAAUACCACCCUUUAAUGUUUGAUGUUCUAACGUGGGCCCCUAAUCGGGGUUGCGGACAGUGUCUGGUGGGUAGUUUGACUGGGGCGGUCUCCUCCUAAAGAGUAACGGAGGAGCACGAAGGUUGGCUAAUCCUGGUCGGACAUCAGGAGGUUAGUGCAAUGGCAUAAGCCAGCUUGACUGCGAGCGUGACGGCGCGAGCAGGUGCGAAAGCAGGUCAUAGUGAUCCGGUGGUUCUGAAUGGAAGGGCCAUCGCUCAACGGAUAAAAGGUACUCCGGGGAUAACAGGCUGAUACCGCCCAAGAGUUCAUAUCGACGGCGGUGUUUGGCACCUCGAUGUCGGCUCAUCACAUCCUGGGGCUGAAGUAGGUCCCAAGGGUAUGGCUGUUCGCCAUUUAAAGUGGUACGCGAGCUGGGGUUUAGAACGUCGUGAGACAGUUCGGUCCCUAUCUGCCGUGGGCGCUGGAGAACUGAGGGGGGCUGCUCCUAGUACGAGAGGACCGGAGUGGACGCAUCACUGGUGUUCGGGUUGUCAUGCCAAUGGCACUGCCCGGUAGCUAAAUGCGGAAGAGAUAAGUGCUGAAAGCAUCUAAGCACGAAACUUGCCCCGAGAUGGGUUCUCCCUGACCCUAAGGGUCCUGAAGGAACGUUGAAGACGACGACGUUGAUAGGCCGGGUGUGUAAGCGCAGCGAUGCGUUGAGCUAACCGGUACUAAUGAACCGUGAGGCUUAACC